UACGGAGGGUGCGAGCGUUGUCCGGAAUCACUGGGCGUAAAGGGCGCGUAGGUGGCCGAGCAAGGUCGCGGUGAAAGCCCGGGGCUCAACCCCGGGUCGGCCGUGGCAACUACUGGGCUGGAGCACUGUAGGGGCGGGUGGAAUUCCGGGUGUAGCGGUGGAAUGCGUAGAGAUCCGGAAGAACACCGGUGGCGAAGGCGGCCCGCUGGGCAGUUGCUGGACACUGAGGCGCGACAGCGUGGGGAGCAAACAGG
rnacentral:rRNA from 1 species